AAUUAUAAAUUUAGCCACACUAAUUAUCCUCAACAACAUCACUUAAACCAUUUAUACAAACUAGUAUAGGCGAUAGAAAAUUAACAAGCGCAAUAAACAAUGUACUGCAAAGGAAAAAUGAAAUAGAAAUCAAAUAAACCAUAAAAAUAUAAUAAAGAAAAGAUUAAAACCUGUACCUUUUGCAUCAUGGUCUAGCAAGUAUUACCCAACAAAAAGAAUUUAGCUGGACACCCCGAAACCAAGCGAGCUACCUUAAGGCAAUAUAUGAAUGAACCUCUCUCUGUAGCAAAAGAGUAGGAAGACCAUAAGGUAGAGGCAAAAAACCUAACGAGCCUGGAGAUAGCUGGUUACUUGAGAAUGAAUUUUAGUUCAACUAGAAACACCAUUACCACUAAAGAAAAUUAACGUUUCUAUUAUAAUUAAUUAAGGUACAACUUAAUUAAUAAAGGAAACAACCUAUAUAAAUGAAUAACGAUUAUUACUUAUAAGGAUAACAUCUCAGUAGGCCUAAAAGCAGCCACCAACAAAAUAGCGUCAAAGCUUAAUUAACACUACCAAUUAUUCCAAUAAACAAUCUCAAUUCAAUAAAAAAAUCAAGUUAAUCUAUCUAUAGAUAAAUCAUUACUAGAAUGAGUAACAAGGACAACCUCAUUAUACAUGUGUAAAUCGAAACGAACCUAUCACCGAUAAUUAACGAUAAUACUUUAUAAGCAAGAUAAAAUAUUAUAAAUCGUUAACCCAACACAGGAGUAUUUAAGAAAGACUUAAAAUUUAGAAAGGAACUCGGCAAACUUGAACCCCGCCUGUUUACCAAAAACAUCGCCUUUUGUCAUAUAUCCAUAAAAGGUCCUGCCUGCCCAGUGACCCUGUUCAACGGCCGCGGUAUCAUGACCGUGCAAAGGUAGCGUAAUCACUUGUCUUUUAAAUAAAGACUAGUAUGAACGGCAACACGAGGGUCCAACUGUCUCACUAAAUUAGUCAGUGAAAUUAAUUUCUCCGUGCAGAAGCGGAGUUAAUCCUAUAAGACGAGAAGACCCUGUGGAGCUUUAAAUAUAAGCUAACAUUCACUAAUGCCAUGGUGUAUAAUUUUUGGUUGGGGCGACCAUAAGGAAAAACAAACCCUUAAGAUAUUAACUAGAAAGACAUUUCUAAAAAAUAGUAGUACUAACAUAUUGACCCAAUAAUUGAUCAACGAACCAAGUUACCCCAGGGAUAACAGCGCAAUCCACUCAUAGAGCCCAUAUCGACGAGCGGGUUUACGACCUGGAUGUUGGAUCAGGACCCCCCAAUGGUGCAGCAACUAUUAAAGGUUCGUUUGUUCAACGAUUAAAGUCCUACGUGAUCUGAGUUCAGACCGGAGUAAUCCAGGUCAGUUUCUAUCUAUAACUAGACUUUUCCAGUACGAAAGGACCGAAAAGCCAAGGCCAAUAAAAAUUUCAAGCCUUCAACUAACUUCUGAAAAUAAAUAAAGAAGUCAAUAAAACAUUCUAG
rnacentral:rRNA from 1 species